rnacentral:lncRNA from 7 species
AUCGCCUUCACAGUCAACAAAAGCUACGGCCUACGACGGAUACGGUCUCCCCUCCACUGCCUCCCUUGCCCUAUUGUCUUCUUCAUCUCAUCGCAUCCCAUAGUUGUGCCAGUUGGAGACGCUUCUGUUGCUGAAGGAGACCUACAUAAACUAUAGUCAGCCGCUAAGUUAAACAAGCCACGUGCUGGGCCAGAACCUAGCAGGCUUAAGGAUGAGUAAAAUGAUAUCUGUUCAACAUGAGGCACAACGAUAUCUAUCUUUCAAGAAUCAGUAAACUGAUAUCUGCUAGAUGUGCUUCUCUAUCUUCGUUUGUUUUGAAACACAUAUAUAGUUGAAAAACUGUAGUGGUGAGAAACUCGAAAUGAAUCUGAGCCAGAACUCAGCUCAGACUGCCAAAUUUCAUAAUUUUAUUCACAAAUUUCAACAAUAUUGAACAUUGAGUAUAUAUUAAGCGAAUACCAAAAUCAUGUUUUCUAGCAUAUUUCAUGCCAUGAUGACAUCUUCCUGGCAAUGUGAUCCUAGCCACCAGAUGCAUAGUUGCUGUAUUUUUAUGAAUGGUAUUUUUAUAACAAAUUAUUUAGAGUCAUAAAUGUAAAUAUGAAUUACUAAAAACUUAGGAGGAAACACUUCUUUUAGUUUCUACGAAACAAUUUUAGGACAUCUUAGCCCCUGAAGUACCUAAAAGCACAUAUGGGUAUCCAGCUGUUGAUUGUUUUUCAUCAUAUUGUGUUUGCUGCAAAAGUGCAAAUAUAACACAUAUGCACAAUGGUGCUAUAUGGGUGAAUGUCAUUACUGCAGUCAAGGUGUUUAUUUUCUCAUAAUGUUGCUUAUUUAUUAGGUGUUUAUUUUCUCAUAGUGUUGCUUAUUUAUUAGGUCAUUCAACCUAAAAUGUGUCUUAUGCCAUCACAACAUUGAUUUACUCCAUGAUACAUAUGGAGUGCUGGAGGAGAUAGUCCCUAUUAAUUGAUGUUAAUUUGAUUCCCAUGCUAUUGUUUUAGUAAUCACUAAUUUCCCUACCUUGUUUCUUGAUUGCUAGGCUCUCUGUAGUUUACUAAGUGACUUUUUGUUAGCUACUGUGAUAUCGGGAAUUGAUAACAACCAUCAUCUUUAUAAUAGUUAUUACCUAUUAGGAUAUGCAACAUCUUGAACUUUUAGGUACAGGCAGAUAUAAGAGUGAGCGCCUCUCAACUUGAACGGAUUAUCUUGUUUCUAUGUUUUUGUUUAUCACAUAGACGAAGUUAAUGCUUAAUCCCUAGAGAUGCAUAUAACCAAGUGGCGCUUACUUGGAUCUGAGAACCUCUGGUGCUUGUUUAUCUCAAGUAAGCCUUUUGAGUCUUAAUGUUUCAUUGAAGAACAUCAAUGCUUAAUUGCAAGUCAAUGUUGUAAUUCUUGAGAAGAAGCCAGGGAAGCUUAUAAGAAGAAAGGAUGGGCUCUAACAAAUCCUUUACCUAAUUUACCAGGAUGGGAGAGUGUCGAAUGAUUUUUCAGAUACUAUUUCUUGGUCCGUCAAAUCUAUUUGACCUAAAUGCAAGUUUUUGCUCAAAUGUGGCAAAAAAUGAUUGUCUCACCAAUUGUCAGCACGGCUGCCUCCAACAAAGUUAGAAUGAAAAGAUGGAAUAAAACUUUGGUGGUCGCACAUGUGUGGAGACUUGAGUUUAUAUAUACUUAGUUAGGCUCAAUGUUAACGCAAAUAGGUGAUGACCAAAAUUUUCAAUUAGUACUUUAGUUUGAAUUUAGAUUACACUUUUGUAUGAGUUAUUUGACAAUGCUUAUUUAUGAGAUAUUGAAUGAUACUUAUCU